UAAUUGAAGAGUUUGAUCAUGGCUCAGAUUGAACGCUGGCGGCAGGCCUAACACAUGCAAGUCGAACGGUAACAGGGAGCAGCUUGCUGCUCUGCUGACGAGUGGCGGACGGGUGAGUAAUGUCUGGGAAACUGCCUGAUGGAGGGGGAUAACUACUGGAAACGGUAGCUAAUACCGCAUAACGUCUACGGACCAAAGUGGGGGACCUUCGGGCCUCAUGCCAUCAGAUGUGCCCAGAUGGGAUUAGCUAGUAGGUGGGGUAACGGCUCACCUAGGCGACGAUCCCUAGCUGGUCUGAGAGGAUGACCAGCCACACUGGAACUGAGACACGGUCCAGACUCCUACGGGAGGCAGCAGUGGGGAAUAUUGCACAAUGGGCGCAAGCCUGAUGCAGCCAUGCCGCGUGUAUGAAGAAGGCCUUCGGGUUGUAAAGUACUUUCAGCGGGGAGGAAGG
rnacentral:rRNA from 1 species